CCCUUUAUGCUGCUAAAACUCCUCUGACCCAGUGGUUCAUCAGAACCUCUGGGGAUGUCCUGUGGAUCCUGUGGAUCCUGUGGGUUGCAGGGUGGGUCCUACCUAGACCAGGCUGAUCCUGGACCAUCCCACAGAUGCUCAAUGAGAUCUGGAUGUGGGGAGUGUGGAACCCAGAUGUUCAGAGGGAGAUGAUGCCACAUCUGGUCCAGCUGAUGGAAGGUCUUGAAGUUCUCUGACUGGCCUCGACUGAAGAUGGUCGUCUCACUGGAUUUAAGGUUCAGAUGCUCAGUAACAAACUCCACCAAUGAGCCAACAGGGAAGCUUUAGGUUUAUUAAAUGUUGCUAUGAAGGUUUCGCUGUUUUUCUUUGUGAAUGCAAUGUGCUCCAACUGAAACUUGAAUUAGAACUUAGAAGUAAAUCCUUCCAUCUGAAAGGAUCUAGUUGCAUUAAUAACCUCAUAACAUUCUAAUUUUUAUUCCAGUCUUGGCUGGAAAUAGAAUCUCUGUAUUGAUUCAGGUAAAAACUGAACUUCACAGCAUGUUGGAGCAAAACAACCAGAUGAAAACUGUGAUGGUGUUGGAUUGUCAGACCGUAAUAUUGCAGCUCAAAGCAGCUUUUCUAUCUCAGUUCAUUCUGACAUUCAGCUAUGAAUCAACACAGCAGAUGGUGAUCCAUGCUGUGGAAGUCUCACAUCUCCUGAUUUAAUGGAGCUGCUUUACACUUUUUACACUGUUUAUUCACCAACACUUUAUUUAAUAAAAGUCCCAUCUAGUUUUUAUGAGGAAUGUGAUGUUUUAAUUUCUCUGUGAAUAACUGCAGUCUAAUGCAACAGCUGGAGUUGUAACAUCUGUCCUGAUAUUGAUCAUGAAGUAUUGAUCAGAAUACUUAUGGUCAGCAGUCAUCCCUGAAGUUUUACAUUAAAAUCUUUACUUGUGUUGUGAACUUUGGUAAGAAGCAGAAACAUUAGCGUUGCCAUGGAUACAUGAGUGUUAAAUUCUGUCCAUGUUUCCAUUUUGGGAAAUUCAGCCAGCAGAUGAGUUUUUUUUUUUGUUUUUUUUUUAC
ensembl:lncRNA